rnacentral:rRNA from 1 species
CGCCCUGGUUUUACCAAAAACAUCGCCUCUUGAUUAAACAUAAGAGGUCCAGCCUGCCCAGUGACAUAGUUUAACGGCCGCGGUACCCUAACCGUGCGAAGGUAGCAUAAUCACUUGUUCUUUAAAUAGGGACUCGUAUCAACGGCAUCACGAGGGCUAUACUGUCUCCUUUCUCCAAUCAAUGAAACUGAUCUCCCCGUGAAGAAGCGGGGAUUAACCUAUAAGACGAGAAGACCCCAUGGAGCUUCAAACUCAACAUAUACCUCUACGCACUUAAACCACUUUAGCCCAAGAGACCUCUAUGUUAGUUUUGGGUUGGGGGGACCGCGGAGUAAAAAUUAACCUCCACGACAAACGGGCUUUAUGCCCUUAUCCACGAACUACAACUCUAAGAAUCAAUAAACUGAUGUUUAUGACCCGAUUAUUCGAUCAACGAACCAAGUUACCCUGGGGAUAACAGCGCAAUCUACUUCAAGAGCCCCUAUCGACAAGUAGGUUUACGACCUCGAUGUUGGAUCAGGGUAUCCUAGUGGUGCAGCCGCUACUAAUGGUUCGUUUGUUCAACGAUUAAAACCCUACGUGAUCUG